rnacentral:lncRNA from 1 species
AAAGUGUUAUUUGACUGGAGUGAGGUCUCAUGUCUGCUUAUGCGGUGGCUCGCUGCUCAGAACAGGAUGGCAGAGAUGAGCACCACCAUCAAAAACUCAAGGACCAGUGCUGUGGGUCCAGUCAUCUGUUUCAUGGAAUUCACCAGUCUGGUAUCUUCAAAAUCCAGAAGGAUGAUGGCAGAUGGCAGGAAGGAGGAAGAGGGUAAUCUGGAAGAGUUUCCUGACCUACUCUGCUGCUGUGAUUAAACAACCACCAGGAAAUUUUGAUGACACUGUUCUCCUGAGCUCCUCCCUUUCCUCGGGGAAGAAAAGCAUUGAAACUACAAAAAUAAAGUGUUAUUUGGCUGGAGUGAGGUCUCAUGUCUGCUUAUGCGGUGGCUCGCUGCUCAGAACAGGGAACCAUUGGAGAUACUCAUUACUCUUUGAAGGCUUACAGUGGAAUGAAUUCAAAUACGACUUAUUUGAGGAAUUGAAGUUGACUUUAUGGAGCUGAUAAGAAUCUUCUUGGAGAAAAAAAGACUGGGUAUAUUUUCAAUAUGCUUUCCUUUUAAGGUCCCUCACCUGUGGAAAGUAAAGAAUGUCACUUUCUGACAGGCUCAGGAACCUCAAGUUAUGUAGGGAUCUCAAGAAGAUGGGGGAAUUCACCCAGUUCAUACAGGUGAAAUUGCUGUUGCAAAGAUUAUGAAUAUGAGAGAAGUCCAGCAUGGCUGACUUCAUCUCGUGUCUGGCCUCAGGCUGGCUGCCCUUGCUCACUCUUGGGCAUAGGCCAAGCUAGCCAUGGGAGGAAUUUAGUUUAUAGUUUAACUUUGAAGCACGGAUGAUAAUAGUCUCUCCCUAAAAUGAACCCCUUCCUUGCUCAGGGACUGAAACUACCUUUGUAUGACAAAUGAAAGCCCACAAGAUUAAGAUUAUGAGAGGGGCCUGAAUUCUGCUAAAAUGCAGGUGUAGCUGACUGAUAACAAGUCAUUGUCCCACAGCUUGCCUUUCUAUAAUCUCUUGCUUCUCAGGAGUCACAUGGCCAGAGGUCCUGAGAUUUCCAGUCCUGUGACCCCCACCCAGAGAUGGACUUAGUGCAUGAGGACCAUUUUCCACACCCCUAUGAUUUCAUCCUCAAACAAUCAGCAGCAACCAUUCCCUAGCCCCCUGCCUUCCAAAUUAUCCAUAAAAAUCCUAGCCUCUGAGUUAUUAGGGAGAUUGAUUAAUAAUCCCAGUCCUACCCCUUGGGUUGCUCUGAUUUAAUUAAACCUUCUCUACUGCAAUACCACGGACUCAGUAAAUUGGUUUUGUCUGUGCAAUGGGCAAGAAGAACAUGUUGCAUGGUUAUACAGGUACUACAAGCACAGUCUGAUGGCAAAUUAUUGGUUUUGCUUCCUGCCCUUGAUGUUUCUAAACAUCUAGUCCAAAAUUACUUGUGAAAGGUCCAGCAAAGCCAAUUUUAAAAGAGGCUAUAUGGCCAAUCACUAUUCUUUCUACACAUUAUUGCAAAUAAUCAGGCCACGGCUGGGCACGGUGGCUCAUGCCUGCAAUCCCAGCACUUUGGGAGGCUGAGGCAGGAUCACCUGAAAUCAGGAGUUCAAGACCAGCCUAGGCAACAUGAUAAAACCCUGUCUCUACUAAAAAUACAAAAUUAGCCAGGCAUGGUGGCAUGCACCUGUAAUCCCAGCUACUUGGGAGACUGAGGGAGGAGAAUCACUUGAACCUGGGAGGCAGAGAUUGCAGUGAGCUGAGAUCACACCACUGCACUCCAGCCUGGGCAAUAGAGUGAGACUUUGUCUCAAAUAAUAAUAAUAAUAAUCAGACCAAGUAUAAUGAAAUUAAAAUUUAUUUUGCAAAUAAAUUGGUCCUACUACAAUUUAUCCUUCAUAGAAAUGUGGAAACUGAAGAUAAAAAAAAUUAGGUUUCAGAAGAAAACUAUACUACACCUGUUAUUAGAUUCUAGCCCUAAACAUUGUUUUUGAGGUUUUUAUUAUUUACCUGCAAUUUGGUCUAAAUUCUGAAUUAUUUCCUGACUACAAGUAUCCAAGGAAUAAAUGGGUUUUCUUUUUCUUUAUGAUAGUUUUAGUUGGCUUCUAAUGCAACAACAAUUUUUAUUGUAAUCCUGUGUGCAUUCUAUUCCUACUAUUCAAAUUAUUAAUGUUAUAGAUCUUUCAUUGUAGUACUUCUGAAUUAACCAAAAUCACAGUAUUCUGAAGAUGAUUCUACAAAGCCUGCUGUUUCUACAAAGGCUGCUGAUGAUUUCUACAAAGCCUGCUGUAGUGUUGCUGUGGCCUCUGCUUAAAAAAGUAGAAAACACAUUGAUGCAGCAUGUUCACCCCAACCUCCCUGCCUAAAGGCUCAGGGACCAUCUUGGAAGAGGAAGGCGCGUGAGAUUGUAAGAGCCGAAUUAGGGGGAUGGAGUGUGGAGAAUAAGGACACUUCAUCUUGGAUGCUCACCUGCCAAAUUGACUUCUGAUGAAAGCCAGCUCCAGAAAUGUGCCUACAGUUACUACUUUCACCUAAACCCUGCCCUUAGUCAAAUCCUUCUCUUCUUCUAAGCAAUCAACUUCAAUUCCUUGUAUAACCCACAGUAUAAAAGGGCUUUUAUACCAUUCUAUCCUAUUGCAUGUAAGCCUUGGGUCUGGGAGGUAACAGUGUGGGAUUCCACCAUCUCAUCUCCCUGCCACCCAAACAUGCCUGCUCUUCUUUAAGCAAUAUUAAAUGUUUGUACUUCAGAAA